rnacentral:rRNA from 1 species
GGGAGCAAACAGGAUUAGAUACCCUGGUAGUCCACGCCGUAAACGAUGUCGACUUGGAGGUUGUGCCCUUGAGGCGUGGCUUCCGGAGCUAACGCGUUAAGUCGACCGCCUGGGGAGUACGGCCGCAAGGUUAAAACUCAAAUGAAUUGACGGGGGCCCGCACAAGCGGUGGAGCAUGUGGUUUAAUUCGAUGCAACGCGAAGAACCUUACCUGGUCUUGACAUCCACGGAAGUUUCCAGAGAUGAGAAUGUGCCUUCGGGAACCGUGAGACAGGUGCUGCAUGGCUGUCGUCAGCUCGUGUUGUGAAAUGUUGGGUUAAGUCCCGCAACGAGCGCAACCCUUAUCCUUUGUUGCCAGCGGUCCGGCCGGGAACUCAAAGGAGACUGCCAGUGAUAAACUGGAGGAAGGUGGGGAUGACGUCAAGUCAUCAUGGCCCUUACGACCAGGGCUACACACGUGCUACAAUGGCGCAUACAAAGAGAAGCGACCUCGCGAGAGCAAGCGGACCUCAUAAAGUGCGUCGUAGUCCGGAUUGGAGUCUGCAACUCGACUCCAUGAAGUCGGAAUCGCUAGUAAUCGUGGAUCAGAAUGCCACGGUGAAUACGUUCCCGGGCCUUGUACACACCGCCCGUCACACCAUGGGAGUGGGUUGCAAAAGAAGUAGGUAGCUUAACCUUC